CUCUCUUCGUUCUAUUGUUGUAAUAGAAACCCUCCCUUUGCGUCUUCUCUGUCAUUUCAAAUUGCUUCCACAUCCUUCUUCUCCAACGAUAAACUCUCUCUCACUCUGUCCCUCUCCUCCCUCCCUUCUCUCUCGCUCUCUUGUCUUCUUUGUCUUUCUCAAAAUCUUCACUCUUCCUAUCUCUCAAAUUCCACUUCUCUAAGAUUGAAUCACUUUCUGCAGCGAAGAAACCCUAACUUGCAAGAUGCCCAUCUCGCCGAUCCACCGCCUUCUUCUUUCUCCUAGCCCUAACGGCGCCGGAAUCAAGGGCGGAAGAUCCCUCUGAAACCCAAGUCGUCUUCCAAAGAAAAUUCUCCACCGUCAGAUCCCAACUCCAUGGUUCCCGAUUCUAAACCCUCGCCGGCUAGAUCGAAGAGCCCACUUCCACCAAGGCCUCCCUCUUCUAACCCACUUAAGCGGAAACUCAGUAUGGAGACCGUUCCUGAGGAUUCCCUGGGUUAUUUGAUUCGGGUGUGAAGGCAUAUGAAAAGGGGCUAAUGAUUGCAGUAAAUACCAUUUACUUCCAAGGUCAAGAUCCUUGAACCAUGUCAAAGUAGUUUAGCAUACCAACCUCCAAACCCUUGGACCACGGGCAUUCUUGGACUACUGGCUGAGAUUUAUUCAAUGCCUAACUUGGAAAUGAACCUCAAGUUUGACCUUGAGGCACAUGAAAAGGGGCUAAUGAUUGCAGUAAAUACCAUUUACUUCCAAGGUCAAGAUCCUUGAACCGUGUCAAAGUAGUUUAGCAUACCAACCUCCAAACCCUUGGACCACGGGCAUUCUUGGACUACUGGCUGAGAUUUAUUCAAUGCCUAACUUGGAAAUGAACUCAAGUUUGACCUUGAGGGCAAUGGAGUUUCUGAUGAUUCCAAGGUAGAAGUUGUAUAAAACAACCUCAAAAAACAGAAAUGUGCAUUUCGAUUUUGUUUACCAUGCUUCUAUUUUGGAUUUGGAUCCUGCUGUUGUGAAUGGAAAUGGAACAGCAGCUGGUCAGAUAACUGCAACUACAGUUAGUGGUCAAAAUGGAAAACCGAAACAGGUGACUUUUUAAAAUCUGUUUUUAUUGUAUUUCAUUUGGUGGCACUUCUCCUCCCCACUAUAUCUCCAACUAGCACUCUUUCAUCUCAAAGAAUAGAAAGUUGUGAUAUUUUUUUUUAGGAGGAAACAAGUCUCUUUAUUCAUAUUUCAAACAAACAAAAGAGUAUAAAUGAUAUGUUUAAUUAACUAUAACAGUUUUGGACCCUUAAGAAAGUAUGGGGUAUUCGAGUAAUUGGAUUCUUUUACCAUGUCUUUAAUUGAAUCAGAAAACUUCAGUCGUGAGGUUUAGCUUUAUAUUUGAAAGCAUUCUUAAAAAUUUUAGGAACCUAAGAGCUAAAACUACAUUAAAUACGUUUACUUUAUGUUUUGAAAGUCCAAGUUAUACUUGGACACGUUUUGAGCACUUUUUAGGUUGGUUUGACUAAGUUUGUUGCACUUAAACACUUGUUUCUAUUUUGGGUUUUGAAGUGCUUUUUCACACUUUUUGAACUUUUACGUAGGUUCAUAAGUUACGAACUUACACUUGAGCAUUGUUUGACCGUUUUGAAAGUUCAAGCAACAAUUGACACGUUUUAAUCAUUUUUUAGGUUGGUUUGAAACUAAGUUUGUUGCACUUACAUACUUGGUUACUAUUUUAGGUCUUCAAGUGCUUUUUUUUUUAAACGGAGAUAGGCUUCUUUAUUAAUAAUAAUAGUAAUAAUAAGAGAGACUAACACUCAAAGUACAAGGGAGUUAUAUAGAAAGCAAAAUAGCUAAAACAGAUAUAAACAAUAGCUAAAUCAAACUCAACAAUAACAACAAGAUUUAUCCUGGAAGCACGAAUGAAAUCUAGAAUGUAAAUUAGGUACAAAACAAUUAAUUAAAGCAGAUGACAAAAGUAACCCAAAGUAAGCUGACAAAAUGCUCGCAAAAAGCUUCGAGAUGAGUGAAGAGGGAACACUGAGAGAACAACAAAACAGCUUUGCUGAAUCUUCACUGCUGGCCAACUGCAAAAUUUUGUCAAUGCAUUUGCUUGGAGUACAGAUGAGUGAAAAAGUUUUGGAUUAUUAAAUCAGUGCAUUUGCUUUUAUUUCCAAAGUUUCUCCAAGCCCUCGACUAUAUUCAUAUUGUAAUUUUCUAUGCCUCCAGAUUGAUGCUUGGGGCACAGAUGGAGAAGUUUUGGAAGUGACAUUUCCCUCUGAGCAAGAAGUGGCUGACCUGGUAGCCACCAGCGAGAAGGAAUAUCAUCAUCGAUUAGAUCAGAUACACACACCUAAUUGCUGCAAGAAAGGAGGAGCAGAUGAAAACAUUGAAAGCUGCUCCCGGGUUGGGCUUCAUCGAACGAUAGUAAACAGGUUAAAGAAGAGAUUUCUGGUCAAGGAAUAGAAGAGGGGCAGAUGGUGAUAUUAAGCUUCAUAAGAAGUCUGAACACUCGUUUUUGGAAGACUAUUCCACUGGAAAAAAACAUGGCAUUGAAAAAAAAACAUUUUCCCGCACCGAUUCUGGUGAGAGUAAAGAAACCAACAAGAAGCACUCGAUAGAUGAUCAAAGAAAUGAUUCUGAAAAUGAACUAGACAGCAGCAAUUUUGGUAUGAAAAGGAAGCAUCAGGAAAACAGAAGACUGCCAGAGGGUCUGGCACUAAUGGUUAUAUCCAGACAAACAAGUUUUUUGUGAGGUCAAAUGCUGAAAGCACCAGAGGAUUUGAAGAUCAGGCCACUGCUUGUCUUCUUAAGAAACCCAAUAAAGACAUUCUCGAGCAUGACCGCAAGCGUCAGAUUGAACUCAAACUCUUCAUACUUGAAGACGAGCUCAGUGACCAAGGCUUUACAGAGAAGGAGAUUUUUGGAAAGUUGAGGGAAGCUCGGGAGAAUUUGGAAGCUGCUUCCUCUGCCAUUCUUCUUGCCGAUAAGAGGCUAUCAGAUACACAUAUUCAUCAAAUUGCUGCAAGAAAGGAGAAGCAGACGAAAACAUUUAGAGCUGCUCUUGGGUUGGGUUCAUUAUUGGAUGAUGGCGAACUAUGUUAAAGAGAUUUCAUCCAUCAAGGAAUGGGAGAGAGGGUCAGAAAGCAUGUUAGUCAAGUCUUCAUAUUAAAUUUGAGAAAGUAUCCUAAGAAAGAUGAUCGUAGACGCAGACAUGACAUUGAUGAUGAAAAAAGUGGCGAUAACAGCUCUAGCAGUGAUGAAUUAGUGAAGAGACGCCGAGGUAGGAGGCACAAUAGUGAUGAUAGUUUUGAAGAAGAAGGUGAAUAUUUUGGUAGAAGUGGUAAGAUAACUACAGAAGGAAAAAGUAGAUGCUAAAAGGCAACAUGAUGAUAGCAAUAAUUCUGGUGGUAGUUUAGCGGUUGAUAGAGAGGGCGAUGAUGAACACAAGUGAACUUGACUUGACUAACCGUUUGAGACAACCAUCAAAGUCUAGAGACUGAGUUUUACUGCUAGAAUUUUAGAGAUUAAUUUUGUAAUUAACUAAUAAUUAUAGUAAACGGCAGACUCAUUACCACUUAUAUAGUUGAUGUAAAGAAUAUAAUGCAGUGAUACAAUUUCGUAUAUCUUGUACUGUCUUUUGAGUAAACAUUUCAAGUUAAUAGGUUAACUUCCCCAAGUGUAUAAUUUGAUUUUUCAUCUUUGCAACUACUAAUAAUAAUAAAAUGUCAUUGGAUAA